rnacentral:lncRNA from 1 species
ACUUUUUUACUCGCUUUGGAAAACGUGGAGAUGAAGUUAUAACUCGGAAGAUUGAGAUGCCACAUGUGCUGCUGGAGACAAUUCUCUUCCUUGCAGAUUCAGCCCAGCUGUGGAUGAGUGACCUGGAGUCUGCUUGCAGGUCAGUGUCCCAGUGCUGUAGAGAAAGCGACCCUGGAUUUUGCCUGUUGACCAAAUUUAUUGCCUUGGCUUGAUUUUACAAACCUGAGUUGU